CCUUCCUUCCUUCCUUCCUUCCUUUUUUUUAGGGCCACACCUGAGGCAUAUGGAAGUUCCCAGCCUAGGGGUUGAAUCGGAGAUACAGCUGCAGGUCUACACCACAGCCACAGCACUGCAGGAUCCAAACAGCAUCUGAGACCUACACCACAGCUCAAAGCAACACCAGAACCCUGAUGCACUGAGCAAGGCCAGGGAUCUAACCCAUAACCUCACGGAUAGUAGUCAGGUUCAUUUCUGCUGUGCCACAACAGGAACUCCCUCAACUCUACAUUAAAAAGUCAAAAACAUCAACAUAAAAAUCAUGAGCAUGUGCCAAUCAAUGGAAUAGAACCCUGCACAGCCGGCUCCAGGCUAAGCCCAGGCACAGCCGCCUGGCUCCCAGUGCACCUUCCUAAACCUGCCAUGCCUUCCAGCACGUCCGGCAGCUGCCGCUUCUCCCCACCUGGUUUCCCAGGUCCUCCAGCAGCCUCGUCACCGCCGUCGCCACACCGGCGUCUCCUCGUUUAUAGUCAGUGGUAGAUGUUCCCCAACUGUCUGCUGAGAGGUCUCCGGGACGUCUGGAUUUUCAUCUCAGCGAGGUUUUAGGGUUUUAGGUUCACAGCUUCCUUGGAAGGAAACCAUCUACCCUCUAUCAGCAGCCAUACGACACGUGAUCAAUAACAAGGCAGUAAAAAAAAACGCAUUACCUCAUGAUCAAGCCUGUUAAUCCUUGAGGUUCCCUCCCACACACACCCCUUGAAACCUCGGAGGAGACUGGCUCCGGGGACAGCGCCGGUGAUGCCGCGGGGAUGGCAUGGAGAUAGAUCACAGUGCAGAGAAGAGCUGAGAGGUCUGGUUGCACAAGGAGCCCACCGCUCUGCUUGGGCCACAGGCCCGGGAAACAAGAGUUCCCCGUCAUUUUUCAACGUCCGCCCCCGGCCCCCAUAAAGCUGCGCUUAGGAGCGAGGUGACCUACCCGAAUCUCCCGCCAGGUGGCGUGGCAGGAGCAGACCACGCUGCCGCCUGCUCUUGACCGCCUUCCUUCUGCAGAGCUGGGUACCACCCAGGCAUCAGAGCCAACUCUGCAGAGGCGCCCUUGCUGGGACAGAUGACCUGGUGGCUUGAUCAUGAGCCCCGUCCAUGACAUUUCUUGGGCCGCAAGGCUGUCUCCAGCCGUUUGUGACGGAGGGAGGGCAGAGACCAGCCACAAAAGGACCAGCCACCAGAACUCAUACACCUUGGUUAAUUCACCAUUGAUUCAUUGUCUUCAUUGAGCCUCUCAUCCUACCUACAGGGAAAUGGCCCCUAGGAAUAACCACCGGGGAGGGAGGGGCGCCACAGGCAGCUGCAGAUGAAGAUUCUAAGGCUUCGGGUGUGCCUGAAGGCUGAUCGUCUCCCUCUGAAUUGAAGCUUGUGACGCUGCACAGCCUCAUCACACUUGCCAGGCAGUGUAUGCGACAGGUCCUGGCCUAAGAGGCCCCUUCCAUGUUCCACCCAUUCCUAAAGGGAAAUUGUGCCUGUACCCCGUUUCCGACAACACUUCUCCACACUCCUCUGGGGUCUCCUUCCUGCUCUAUGAUCAAAGACAAGCCUAAACAGCGCCUCUGGAAACAUCUGAAAGGCUGUGGCUUUCUGCAGACACCUAAGAAGCAACAUCUCAGUUAAAACUGUUCUCUUGGGAGUUCCCAUUGCAGAGCAGCGGAAAUGAACCUGCCUAGUAUCGAUGAGGAUGCAGGUUCCACCCGUGGCCUCGCUCAGGGGUUUAAGGAUACAGCGUUGCCGUGAGCUGUGGUGUAGGUCGAAGACGUGGCUCGGAUCCUAAGUUGCUGUUUUGUGUCUGUGGGGCAGCUGUAGCUCCAAUUCAGCCCCUACCCUGGGAACUUCCCUAUGCCUUGGAUGCGGCCCUAAAAAGCAAAGAAACAAAACAACAACAAAAAGCUGUUCUCCUAUACUAAUGUUGAGGAGAUGAUGUGGCUCAUGGGGGUAGAAACCGCGGAGAAAAGAACCCCAAAGAUGCGUAAAUAUUUAAAAGCAGCUCUUAUGGGAGGGGAGCUCCUGCGAUUCCAUGCUGUCCUGAAGCCAGACCAUCUAGAGGAAUGGCUUUCGAAGUUUUUUGCUUUGAAACUUUUGUCCCUGAUAAAAGAUAUUUGAAAACAAAAACACCAACAGAAAUGGUUCUCCUGUGUAAAAAACAAGUUUUCUCUCUGCACCACGGGUUUUGAGUUUUGCCAAGAGGGUACUUUGGAAGCAGUCUUCCUACCACUUCAUCUCCCGGCCCACAUCUGCCAGCUGGAUUUGGAUCCCACAAAGCUGGGGACCCCUGGCCAGACUCUUGCCCCCAAGGGUGCACUCAGGGUGCCAAUGCAGACUUAAGAACACCCCCCCACCCUNUGCCAAUGCAGACUUAAGAACACCCCCCCCCUCCUACUGGGAAGUCCCAAACAGUAUUUGGGACCCCUGAGGGAGGAUAGCAUUGGACAUCCAUGACAAAGUUAGGGGCCCAUAAGGUUAGGGGGCUUGGAGCUUGUGCCCCCUAAACCAGGGCUUAGAUGAACAGUGACAGACUUGGACCUGCAAGGCAGGGUUUGGGACCCACCCAGACUGCACUCGGAAACCUCGCCCAGGGUAGAGUCCCGGCACCCCCUCUGGCUACAUUCCCACCCUUAGCUACUAACACAGACUAUACCCUCAGGACCAGACAAGACAAGCCAUGGCCAAGUUUGGGGCCU
ensembl:lncRNA